rnacentral:rRNA from 1 species
GACAGAGGUGCCAAGCGUUAGGCGGAAUCACUGGGCUUAAAGCGUGUGUAGGCGGAUGUCUAAGUACCUUGUGAAAUCCCACGGCUCAACCGUGGAACUGCUUGGUAUACUGGAUGUCUUGAGCCAUCUAGGGGCUACCGGAACAAAUGGUGGAGCGGUGAAAUGCGUAGAUAUCGCUUGGAACGCCGAAGGUGAAAACAGGCUGCUGGGGUUGCGCCGACGCUGAGACACGAAAGCCAGGGGAGCAAACGGG